GCCAUUGCACUCCAGCCUGGGCAAAAAGAGCAAAACUCUGUCUCAAAAAAAUAAAACUAAAAUAAAUAAUAAUAAUAAUAAAACUGAGUUUGUGGUAAUUUGUUACAGCACCGAGAGGAAACAAAUACAACUGCCUGCCACCUGCAUCCUUCUCAUGCGCCCCCAUACAUGCAUGCAUGCAUGCAUUCAUUCAUUCAGUGUUAUGUGUUGCUCCAAACACUGAGGACACAGGAGAACAAGAGACAGGUUU
rnacentral:lncRNA from 1 species